UCACCGAACUUAAUAGGAGUCUUCUUA
rnacentral:piRNA from 1 species